rfam:Glycine soja cultivar W05 scaffold743_6, whole genome shotgun sequence.
GAGUGCCAUGUCAUCACGCCUUAUCACAAACAACUCAUUGUCAUGUCAUCGCCUUCAAUGAUGUGGCACUGACGUGUUAGUGAUUAGGCGUGAUGACGAGGCACUCCGU